UAAUGUUAUUGUUGAAAAUAUGUUCUCAUUUAUAUUAUAAUAUAUUAUUUUCAAAAUGUAAGUAUAAAUAGUGAGUACAGUAAAACCAGCGAGGGCCCUGUUCCAAAAGAGCGUCUUGUGUGGAAAUUUGAAAAAAAAAAAAUCAUCCUAGUACUUAAUGUAUCGACUUUACGUUACAAAAACAAUGCGACACACAUACGUGUAUCAAAAAAAAAAAUCAAACGGAAAUAACCGGCUGGAGUCGUCAAAGUCGUCUUGUUGCAUACGUUACACGUGUACAGCUUUGCGCCAGUAUGCAGGAGCUAAUGUUUCUUAAGACUUGAGCUAUGAGUAAAGUCCUGUUUGAGACGAUUAGUACAAGAAGAUAUAAAUGUAUGAACGACCACCUGAAAAAAUCAACAACUUAAUUGUUGAGAAAAAAAAGGAAAACUAAGCCGCCGUGUCAGUCCAGUUGAUAGCACCGAUGACAACUGAUGUGAAAAUAAAAAUCAAAACAAAUCGACUGUAUAAUAAA